rnacentral:lncRNA from 1 species
CUUAAACAAUACAUUCAUCAAUGAUUUCAUUUUGGUGAUUCGUAUGCCGUACAAAAUAUUUAAUUUCAUUAAAAAAAAAAAACGUAAUGAUUGUAUUAUGUGAUGAUCCAUUUCAAAAUAUAAAAUAUUUCACCAAUAAAAUAAAAUUGAAAGUCGUAGACAAAAUCAUGAAAAAUAUGAAGACGGUCUGACGAUAAACACUGCACAUGUUGUGAAUGAGAGUGCGCUGCGUACAGUACAAGUUUUUAAUAAAUAACGUACGUUUCACGCCUAAUAUUUAUUUUGUUGUACAAUAAUUAUUAUGUAGACAUAUCAAAGUACGAAUUCAUGGAAUUGGGUUCCGGUAAUGACAAUUAUUUAGAGCACAUGAUUACAUGAAUAAUGGACAUAAUUUAUAUAUAAAUAUUGAAUGAAUGAUGAUGGAGAAACGAUCAAUUUCUGUUAUUUAUAAACCAUCUACCGCGCAGCUGCAAUAAUAACCAGUUUAGACCUAUGGUGCGUUAUCUCUGGUUCCAAUAAUCUAGUAAAUGAUCUUUCGGCAUUCGUAAUACCACAGAACAAUAGUAAUACGGGCAUGAGACUUCCCCGUAUAGGCCAUACUAUGAAAUUAUAAAUAAUUCUCACUAUCAUGCAUAUUAUGUAGGGUAUUUUAAGUGUAAAGAUUAAUGUAUUAAAAGCUUAACUGCUGAUUGGUAAUAAUUGCCUACCACUAAAUUUUACACUAGAAUUUAUGAAAAACGAUUCGUUUCCAAAUUUAUACAAAUUUUUGCAAAUUAUAAUCACAAUUCUGGUAAGCUCUGCUACUUACGAGCAAAGUUUUUCGAAAAUGUGGCGGAUAAAAAACUGGCUAAGAUCAAGCAUGUUUCAGGAAAGGUUUAUCAAUUUAUCUUUGUUGCAUAUUGAAAAAUAUUAAAUCAGCUAAACACCAUAACUAUAUUGAAUAAAUAUUGCAUGAAACCCAGAAAAAUUAUGCUGAUUUAAAAUGUACCAAUAAUAUAUUAUUUAUUUACCAACAAUAUAAAGGAAUUAAAAUGUACCAAGAUGUGUGAAAUUCGUUGGGUUGAACGCCACGAUAGUUUGUUACCGUUUAAAGAGCUAUAUUUACCAAUAACUAACACAUUAAGAGAACUCGAACAGUAUCAUAAUUUAGAAACAUCAAAACUUGCAUUUCAACUUUCAAAAACUACUACAUCAAGUUCGUUUGUAAUUUCAUUGUAAAUUACAGAAAAAUUAUUUUCCAUAACACUGCCUUUGUGUAAAUCUUUACAACAAAUAAACGUUGAUUUAUCCGAGUAUUGUGAAUAUGUCAAUAACUGUGUGCAAGUUAUUAAUUCAAUUCAUGAAAUAGUGAGGAAGAAUUCCACAAAUUAUUUUUUAAUGUCGAAAAUGUAUUAACCUUUGAAGACGAAACGGUUAAAACGCCACGACUAAUUAGGCAAUCUACCUAUCGUAACAAUAUUUCGGCAGAUUCACCAAAACAGUACUAUAUAUCAAUUUUUUUGCCAUUUAUAAACUACUUCAAAAGUCAAUUAAUAGAAAGAUAAAACACAAUUACAUUAUUUCUUAUUUACAAAAUUUGAUUCCAAGGAGCAAUGAAUUUAAAAAAUGCAUUGAUUUUUACAAAAGCUUUUUACCGACUUAUGAAACUUUUGAAUCAGAAUUGAAGAUGUGGGUGGAAAAAUGGAAAUCGAUACCCGAUAAUAAAUUUCCUAAAUCUGCAAUCAAUACUUUAGGCGUCAUGUCGAAGGCCUUUUACCCAAACAUUUGGUGUUUGAUAUCCAUACUUGCAACACUCCCAGUGCCGACUUCGUCUGCAGAGCGUUCUUUUUCAACUUUAAGACGAUUAAAAACCUAUUUGAGGAAUAGCUGCAGUGAAGAUCGUCUAACAGGUUUAGCUUUAUUGUCAGUCCACUGAGGUAUCCAAAUAAACAUUGAAGAAAUAAUACAUUUUCUAGAAUGUCACGUAAAGUUGACAUUGUCUUAUGAAUUAAAAUUGUAGA